rnacentral:rRNA from 1 species
UACGAAGGGGGCUAGCGUUGUUCGGAAUUACUGGGCGUAAAGCGUGCGCAGGCGGCUUCUCAAGUCAGGGGUGAAAGCCCAGAGCUCAACUCUGGAAUUGCCUUUGAGACUGAGUGGCUUGAGUACGAGAGAGGUGAGUGGAAUUCCCAGUGUAGAGGUGAAAUUCGUAGAUAUUGGGAAGAACACCGGUGGCGAAGGCGGCGACCUGGACGGACACUGACGCUGAGACGCGAAAGCGUGGGGAGCAAACAGG